CAAAUUAGAGCUUGAAAUAAGUAUUUCAUUUACAUUGAAGUGAUAUUAUAUUUUGUAUUAUAAUUAAUUUGA
rnacentral:tRNA from 1 species